rnacentral:lncRNA from 1 species
CCAAUUUGUUUCGAUUGUCAAAUAUACAUUUGGACAUCACUUUCUACCUCAAUAAUAUGGAUGGCUGGCGUUCAAUUUGCACAUGAUUAUCCCAUGGGUUGUCAGCCGUCUACAUUUUAGAAAAAAAAAAAACAUAUCUUUAGUGAAAAAUGCAUACUCCAAGCAAAAAAGUUUCCUAUAAAAAUAUAUACUAUAAAUCAGAAUAUUGAUAGCCAAAUUUUGUUCAUAAUAAUCCACUACUGCAUUCUAUGUAUUCAUAACUUCACAACAAAAGAAUCAAGAAUAUCAACUUCAUACUAAAAAAUUAUAACUUUUUUAAAAAAUUAAUUUCGAGUAAAGGAAUCGGCCAUUUACAAAGAUGGAACAAAUACCAGCAAUAUUUUUUUUUAAUUUAAAAAAAUUCAUCAAUGGAGGGUUUGAUUUUAUUUUACCAAACACCCAAGUCCGUGUGUUCGAUUGCGUAGGAAAAGAAAUGGGGAAAUAAAAGAAGACCAAAAAUUAACCUUAACGGUGACUAGACGGCGGCGGAGUGGCAGAGAUGAACCGAAGAAGUGGGCGGUGCCACCGUGCCAGGCGAACGUCCGGUAGAAAUUGUGUCGACGACUAGGGUUUAGUUCAAAAAUCAAAGAGGUGAAAUGUUUU